GCGUGGACGAAUUCUGUGUUAGCCUCUCCGUGGUCAAUGCAGCCAGACACCAUGCUAGAGAACCUUUCACACCUGACCGCUACAAGGAUGGGAGUACUGAUCCGUAUUUGUAUCCUAGUGUCAACGUGAAUACAAAU
ensembl:snoRNA small nucleolar RNA SNORA15